rnacentral:rRNA from 1 species
CGGCGUGCUUAAUACAUGCAAGUCGAACGCUCUCGACCUUCGGGUCACAUGAGAGAGUGGCGAACGGGUGCGUAACACGUGAGAAACCUGCCCCAAAGACGGGAAUAGCCCGAGGAAACUCGGAUUAAUACCCGAUACCUCCACAAUGUCGCAUGGCAUUGUGAAGAAAGUUCAGGCGCUUUGGGAGGGUCUCGCGGCCUAUCAGCUUGUUGGUGAGGUAACGGCUCACCAAGGCAUCGACGGGUAGCUGGUCUGAGAGGACGAUCAGCCACACUGGGACUGAGACACGGCCCAGACUCCUACGGGAGGCAGCAGUAGGGAAUCUUGCGCAAUGGGCGAAAGCCUGACGCAGCAACGCCGCGUGGGGGAUGAAUGCCUUCGGGUUGUAAACCCCUUUCAGCAGGGACGAAAAUGACGGUACCUGCAGAAGAAGCUCCGGCCAACUACGUGCC